UGACAGAACAGAUAGGGAUGCGGCAUUG
rnacentral:sRNA from 1 species